GGAAAAAAACAACAACAUUGCAGUUCUAAAUUUGGACAGCAAAUCGAGUACAUAUAUAAGCCAUUCACUGCCAAUGACCACUACGCAGUAUAAAUCUUGUAACACCUGUAAGUCAUUUGUUGUUUAUAUCCAGUGGUGGCAACAGUGGCAGUGCAUGCGCUAACAAACUCCCCAGGUCCAUCUUCAACUUUAAAAUAAUCAACACAUCUUCAACUUGAGAAUAAUCGAAUUAUGCUGCAAGAAAUCUGGAGGAUUCCCCUAAAAGAAAUUCAAAUUUGAACAAGAUUGGCAGAAUGUGGUCUCUACGGGUGUAACAACUUCGGCCACAAAUUCGACCUUGAUCCAGUCUGUAUUUCCAAAAGUUGUAGACCCUUCUCCUGAAUUUCUUAGCAUAUUUACACUUCACAUUUGGAGUUGAGACGAAAGAGUUAUGUUGUCUUACGUAGAGGUGUCUAAGUUGUUCGAAAA
rnacentral:lncRNA from 1 species